rnacentral:rRNA from 1 species
UCAAGUGAAGAAGCGCAUACGGUGGAUGCCUUGGCAGUCAGAGGCGAUGAAAGACGUGGUAGCCUGCGAAAAGCUUCGGGGAGUCGGCAAACAGACUGUGAUCCGGAGAUGUCUGAAUGGGGGAACCCAGCCAUCAUAAGAUGGUUAUCUUGUACUGAAUACAUAGGUGCAAGAGGCGAACCAGGGGAACUGAAACAUCUAAGUACCCUGAGGAAAAGAAAUCAACCGAGAUUCCCUUAGUAGUGGCGAGCGAACGGGGACCAGCCCUUAAGUUGUAUUGAGAUUAGCGGAACGUUCUGGAAAGGACGGCCAUAGUGGGUGAUAGCCCUGUACGCGAAAAUCCCUUUGCAAUGAAAUCGAGUAGGACGGGGCACGAGAAACCUUGUCUGAAUAUGGGGGGACCAUCCUCCAAGGCUAAAUACUACUGACUGACCGAUAGUGAACCAGUACCGUGAGGGAAAGGCGAAAAGAACCGCGGAGAGCGGAGUGAAAUAGAUCCUGAAACCGUAUGCGUACAAGCAGUGGGAGCCCACUUUGUUGGGUGACUGCGUACCUUUUGUAUAAUGGGUCAGCGACUUAUUUUCAGUGGCGAGCUUAACCGAAUAGGGGAGGCGUAGCGAAAGCGAGUCUUAAUAGGGCGUCUAGUCGCUGGGAAUAGACCCGAAACCGGGCGAUCUAUCCAUGGGCAGGUUGAAGGUUGGGUAACACUAACUGGAGGACCGAACCGACUACCGUUGAAAAGUUAGCGGAUGACCUGUGGAUCGGAGUGAAAGGCUAAUCAAGCUCGGAGAUAGCUGGUUCUCCUCGAAAGCUAUUUAGGUAGCGCCUCAUGUAUCACUGUAGGGGGUAGAGCACUGUUUCGGCUAGGGGGUCAUCCCGACUUACCAAACCGAUGCAAACUCCGAAUACCUACAAGUGCCGAGCAUGGGAGACACACGGCGGGUGCUAACGUCCGUCGUGAAAAGGGAAACAACCCAGACCGUCAGCUAAGGUCCCAAAGUCAUGGUUAAGUGGGAAACGAUGUGGGAAGGCUUAGACAGCUAGGAGGUUGGCUUAGAAGCAGCCACCCUUUAAAGAAAGCGUAAUAGCUCACUAGUCGAGUCGGCCUGCGCGGAAGAUGUAACGGGGCUCAAACCAUGCACCGAAGCUACGGGUAUCAUCUUUUGAUGAUGCGGUAGAGGAGCGUUCUGUAAGCCUGUGAAGGUGAGUUGAGAAGCUUGCUGGAGGUAUCAGAAGUGCGAAUGCUGACAUGAGUAACGACAAUGGGUGUGAAAAACACCCACGCCGAAAGACCAAGGUUUCCUGCGCAACGUUAAUCGACGCAGGGUUAGUCGGUCCCUAAGGCGAGGCUGAAAAGCGUAGUCGAUGGAAAACAGGUUAAUAUUCCUGUACUUCUGGUUAUUGCGAUGGAGGGACGGAGAAGGCUAGGCCAGCCUGGCGUUGGUUGUCCAGGUUUAAGGUGGUAGGCUGAGAUCUUAGGUAAAUCCGGGAUCUUAAGGCCGAGAGCUGAUGACGAGUGUUCUUUUAGAACAUGAAGUGGUUGAUGCCAUGCUUCCAAGAAAAGCUUCUAAGCUUCAGGUAACCAGGAACCGUACCCCAAACCGACACAGGUGGUUGGGUAGAGAAUACCAAGGCGCUUGAGAGAACUCGGGUGAAGGAACUAGGCAAAAUGGCACCGUAACUUCGGGAGAAGGUGCGCCGGUGGAGGUGAAGCAUUUACUGCGUAAGCCCCUGCCGGUCGAAGAUACCAGGCCGCUGCGACUGUUUAUUAAAAACACAGCACUCUGCAAACACGAAAGUGGACGUAUAGGGUGUGACGCCUGCCCGGUGCCGGAAGGUUAAUUGAUGGGGUUAGCGCAAGCGAAGCUCUUGAUCGAAGCCCCGGUAAACGGCGGCCGUAACUAUAACGGUCCUAAGGUAGCGAAAUUCCUUGUCGGGUAAGUUCCGACCUGCACGAAUGGCGUAACGAUGGCGGCGCUGUCUCCACCCGAGACUCAGUGAAAUUGAAAUCGCUGUGAAGAUGCAGUGUAUCCGCGGCUAGACGGAAAGACCCCGUGAACCUUUACUAUAGCUUUGCACUGGACUUUGAAUUUGCUUGUGUAGGAUAGGUGGGAGGCUUUGAAGCGUGGACGCCAGUCUGCGUGGAGCCAACCUUGAAAUACCACCCUGGCAACUUUGAGGUUCUAACUCAGGUCCGUUAUCCGGAUCGAGGACAGUGUAUGGUGGGUAGUUUGACUGGGGCGGUCUCCUCCUAAAGAGUAACGGAGGAGUACGAAGGUGCGCUCAGACCGGUCGGAAAUCGGUCGUAGAGUAUAAAGGCAAAAGCGCGCUUGACUGCGAGACAGACACGUCGAGCAGGUACGAAAGUAGGUCUUAGUGAUCCGGUGGUUCUGUAUGGAAGGGCCAUCGCUCAACGGAUAAAAGGUACUCCGGGGAUAACAGGCUGAUACCGCCCAAGAGUUCAUAUCGACGGCGGUGUUUGGCACCUCGAUGUCGGCUCAUCACAUCCUGGGGCUGAAGCCGGUCCCAAGGGUAUGGCUGUUCGCCAUUUAAAGUGGUACGCGAGCUGGGUUUAGAACGUCGUGAGACAGUUCGGUCCCUAUCUGCCGUGGACGUUUGAGAUUUGAGAGGGGCUGCUCCUAGUACGAGAGGACCGGAGUGGACGAACCUCUGGUGUUCCGGUUGUCACGCCAGUGGCAUUGCCGGGUAGCUAUGUUCGGAAAAGAUAACCGCUGAAAGCAUCUAAGCGGGAAACUUGCCUCAAGAUGAGAUCUCACUGGAACCUUGAGUUCCCUAAAGGGCCGUCGAAGACUACGACGUUGAUAGGUUGGGUGUGUAAGCGCUGUGAGGCGUUGAGCUAACCAAUACUAAUUGCCCGUGAGGCUUGACCAU